rnacentral:rRNA from 1 species
GACGAACGCUGGCGGCGUGCUUAAUACAUGCAAGUCGAGCGAGGUUACUGUUUUGGAUCCCUUCGGGGUGAAGAAGCUUUAACCUAGCGGCGGACGGGUGAGUAACGCGUGGGUAACCUACCCCAAAGUCCGGGAUAACAGCGGGAAACCGCUGCUAAUACCGGAUGUCUUUACCUUGGGGCAUCUUGAGGUAAAGAAAGGUAACGCUUUGGGAUGGGCCCGCGUCCCAUUAGCUAGUUGGUGAGGUAACGGCUCACCAAGGCGACGAUGGGUAGCCGGCCUGAGAGGGUGGACGGCCACACUGGGACUGAGACACGGCCCAGACUCCUACGGGAGGCAGCAGUAGGGAAUAUUGCGCAAUGGACGGAAGUCUGACGCAGCGACGCCGCGUGAGCGAUGAAGGUCUUCGGAUCGUAAAAGCUCUGUCCUUGGGGAAGAAGGCGAAAGCUUGACGGUACCCAAGAAGAAAAGCCCCGGCUAACUACGUGCCAGCAGCCGCGGUAAAAUAGUACUAUCUCUGAGGCGGCGCGAGAC